rnacentral:rRNA from 1 species
GUAGGGAAUCUUGCGCAAUGGGCGAAAGCCUGACGCAGCCAUGCCGCGUGUGUGAAGAAGGUCUUCGGAUUGUAAAGCACUUUAAGUUGGGAGGAAGGGCAGUAAGUUAAUACCUUGCUGUUUUGACGUUACCGACAGAAUAAGCACCGGCUAACUUCGUGCCAGCAGCCGCGGUAAUACGAAGGGUGCAAGCGUUAAUCGGAAUUACUGGGCGUAAAGCGCGCGUAGGUGGUUUUGUAAGUUGGAGGUGAAAUCCCCGGGCUCAACCUGGGAACUGCCUCCAAAACUGCAUGACUAGAGUACGGUAGAGGGUAGUGGAAUUUCCUGUGUAGCGGUGAAAUGCGUAGAUAUAGGAAGGAACACCAGUGGCGAAGGCGACUACCUGGACUGAUACUGACACUGAGGUGCGAAAGCGUGGGGAGCAAACAGGAUUAGAAACCCCGGUAGUCC